rnacentral:rRNA from 1 species
GGAUUCCUACGGGAGGCAGCAGUGAGGAAUAUUGGUCAAUGGACGAGAGUCUGAACCAGCCAAGUAGCGUGAAGGAUGACGGCCCUAUGGGUUGUAAACUGCUUUUAUAUGGGAAUAAAACUUUCCACGUGUGGGUUUUUGUAUGUACCAUAUGAAUAAGGAUCGGCUAACUCCGUGCCAGCAGCCGCGGUAAUACGGAGGAUCCGAGCGUUAUCCGGAUUUAUUGGGUUUAAAGGGAGCGUAGGUUGGUGGUUAAGUCAGUUGUGAAAGUUUGCGGCUCAACGGUAGAAUUGCAGUUGAAACUG